UGCGAAGUGGGCUAGCGUUGCUCGGAAUCACUGGGCGUAAAGCGCACGUAGGCGGAUCUUUAAGUCAGGGGUGAAAUCCCGAGGCUCAACCUCGGAACUGCCUUUGAUACUGGGGAUCUCGAGUCCGGAAGAGGUUGGUGGAACUCCGAGUGUAGAGGUGAAAUUCGUAGAUAUUCGGAAGAACACCAGUGGCGAAGGCGGCCAACUGGUCCGGUACUGACGCUGAGGUGCGAAAGCGUGGGGAGCAAACAGG
rnacentral:rRNA from 1 species